rnacentral:rRNA from 1 species
ACGCUGGCGGCAGGCCUAACACAUGCAAGUCGAGCGGUAGAGAGAAGCUUGCUUCUCUUGAGAGCGGCGGACGGGUGAGUAAUGCCUAGGAAUCUGCCUGGUAGUGGGGGAUAACGUUCGGAAACGGACGCUAAUACCGCAUACGUCCUACGGGAGAAAGCAGGGGACCUUCGGGCCCUUGCGCUAUCAGAUGAGCCUAGGUCGGAUUAGCUAGUUGGUGGGGUAAUGGCUCACCAAGGCGACGAUCCGUAACUGGUCUGAGAGGAUGAUCAGUCACACUGGAACUGAGACACGGUCCAGACUCCUACGGGAGGCAGCAGUGGGGAAUAUUGGGCAAUGGGCGAAAGCCUGAUCCAGCCAUGCCGCGUGUGUGAAGAAGGUCUUCGGAUUGUAAAGCACUUUAAGUUGGGAGGAAGGGUUGUAGAUUAAUACUCUGCAAUUUUGACGUUACCGACAGAAUAAGCACCGGCUAACUCUGUGCCAGCAGCCGCGGUAAUACAGAGGGUGCAAGCGUUAAUCGGAAUUACUGGGCGUAAAGCGCGCGUAGGUGGUUAGUUAAGUUGGAUGUGAAAUCCCCGGGCUCAACCUGGGAACUGCAUUCAAAACUGACUGACUAGAGUAUGGUAGAGGGUGGUGGAAUUUCCUGUGUAGCGGUGAAAUGCGUAGAUAUAGGAAGGAACACCAGUGGCGAAGGCGACCACCUGGACUGAUACUGACACUGAGGUGCGAAAGCGUGGGGAGCAAAC